rnacentral:rRNA from 1 species
GAGUAGGGCGGGACACGUGGUAUCCUGUCUGAAUAUGGGGGGACCAUCCUCCAAGGCUAAAUACUCCUGACUGACCGAUAGUGAACCAGUACCGUGAGGGAAAGGCGAAAAGAACCCCGGCGAGGGGAGUGAAAAAGAACCUGAAACCGUGUACGUACAAGCAGUGGGAGCACGCUUAGGCGUGUGACUGCGUACCUUUUGUAUAAUGGGUCAGCGACUUAUAUUCUGUAGCAAGGUUAACCGAAUAGGGGAGCCGAAGGGAAACCGAGUCUUAACUGGGCGUUAAGUUGCAGGGUAUAGACCCGAAACCCGGUGAUCUAGCCAUGGGCAGGUUGAAGGUUGGGUAACACUAACUGGAGGACCGAACCGACUAAUGUUGAAAAAUUAGCGGAUGACUUGUGGCUGGGGGUGAAAGGCCAAUCAAACCGGGAGAUAGCUGGUUCUCCCCGAAAGCUAUUUAGGUAGCGCCUCGUGAAUUCAUCUCCGGGGGUAGAGCACUGUUUCGGCAAGGGGGUCAUCCCGACUUACCAACCCGAUGCAAACUGCGAAUACCGGAGAAUGUUAU